UGCAGCUGACUUUGGCUUUGCACGGUACCUCCAGAACAACAUGAUGGCAGCCACGCUGUGUGGAUCACCCAUGUACAUGGCCCCAGAGGUCAUCAUGUCCCAGAACUACGAUGCCAAGGCUGACCUGUGGAGCAUAGGGACUGUCAUCUACCAAUGUCUGGUCGGCAAGCCACCAUUCCAGGCUAAUAGUCCCCAAGACCUGAGGAUGUUUUACGAGAAGAACAAGAAUCCACAACCUAU